CCCAAAUUCAUGAAAAGACACGAAGUUGAAGUCCUGAAGCCGUGAAAGGGACCCAAAGUAAGGAAAGGAGUCUAAGGAACAUGGGGAUCUGGUCUUUUUUCCAUGCCUAGCAGUUGCCUCGAAUGAAGAUUCUGGAGCCCAAAAGCAGUUUUGUAUCCCUUAUCUUCAAUCCCAGUACCUGAAAUGACAGAGCAUGUGGGGGGCUCUUCAAAGCUGCAAAAAGACCCAAAGUCAUGAAAAGACACGAAGUUGAAGUCCUGAAGCCGUGAAAGGACCCAAAGUAAGGAAAGGAGUCUAAGGUAAGUUCCACUGAUCAUAAAU